rnacentral:tRNA from 1 species
GUAGAUAUAGUUUAAACAAAACGUUAGAAUGUGGACCUAAAAACAGGAACUCACUUACUCCUUAUCUACCA